UAUAGGGCUGAGUUACUCAAGCUUAGCCAUGAUAUUCCCCUGGCAGGUCAUUUAGGGGUUACUAAAACUAAGGAUAGGUUAACUCAGACCUUUUUCUGGCCUGGUAUAUCACAGGAUCUAAAGAAUUAUUGCAGGACAUGUGAUGUGUGUCAAAGUACGAGGAGGAGAGGGGAUCGCCAGAGAGCCAAACUGCACCCCCUACCAAUCUAUGAGGAACAAUUUCACAAGGUGGCCAUAGAUCAGUAAACUCAGGAAAGUGCUACAUCCUCACGGUAGUAGACUAUGCUACUAGAUAUCCUGAGGCGGUAGCCCUUUCCAAUAUAGAGGCAGAGACAAUAGCUGAAGCCUUAGUGAAAAUCUUUAGGCUUCCCC